rnacentral:rRNA from 1 species
GAUGAACGCUGGCGGCGUGCUUAAUACAUGCAAGUCGAACGAAGAGCCUUUGUAGCAAUACGAGGGUUUCUUAGUGGCGAACGGGUGCGUAACGCGUUGGUGACCUGCCCCGAAGUGUGGGAUAACAGUUCGAAAGGACUGCUAAUACCGCAUGUGGACACGAGGGUUAGAGGCUUUGUGUCUAAAGCAGUAAUGCGCUUUGGGAGGGACCUGCGUCCCAUCAGCUCGUUGGUGAGGUAAUGGCUCACCAAGGCUACGACGGGUAGGGGACCUGAGAGGGUGGUCCCCCACACUGGCACUGAAACACGGGCCAGACACCUACGGGUGGCAGCAGUAGGGAAUAUUGGGCAAUGGGCGAAAGCCUGACCCAGCAACGCCGCGUGCACGAUGAAGGUCUUCGGAUCGUAAAGUGCUUUUCUGAGAGAUGAGAAAGGACAGUAUCUCAGGAAUAAGUCUCGGCUAACUACGUGCCAGCCGCCGCGGUAAGAC